rnacentral:tRNA from 1 species
GAAGACUUAGCUUAAAUCAAAGUGACUGGUUUGCGUCCAGUAGAUGUGAGGUUUAUCUUGCAGUCUUUG